GACGAACGCUGGCGGCGUGCUUAACACAUGCAAGUCGAACGGAAAGGCCCUGCUUUUGUGGGGUGCUCGAGUGGCGAACGGGUGAGUAACACGCGAGUAACCUGCCCUUGACUUUGGGAUAACUUCAGGAAACUGGGGCUAAUACCGGAUAGGAGCUCCUGCUGCAUGGUGGGGGUUGGAAAGUUUCGGCGGUUGGGGAUGGACUCGCGGCUUAUCAGCUUGUUGGUGGGGUAGUGGCUUACCAAGGCUUUGACGGGUAGCCGGCCUGAGAGGGUGACCGGCCACAAUGGGACUAAGAUACGGCCCAGACUCCUACGGGAGGCAACAGUGGGGAAUAUUACGCAAUAGGCGGGAGCCUGAUGCAGCAACGCCGCGUGCGGAAUGACGGCCUUCGGGUUAUAAACCGCUUUCGCCUGUAACGAGGCGUGAGUGACGGUAAUGGGUAAAGAAGCACCGGCUAACUACGUG
rnacentral:rRNA from 1 species